rnacentral:rRNA from 1 species
GACGAGCCACACGAACGUUAUUCGGAAUUACUGGGCUUAAAGGGUGCGUAGGCUGCGCGGCAAGUUGGGUGUGAAAUCCCUCGGCUCAACCGAGGAACUGCGCCCAAAACUGCCGUGCUCGAGGAAGAUAGAGGUAAGCGGAACUUACGGUGGAGCGGUGAAAUGCGUUGAUAUCGUAAGGAACACCUGUGGCGAAAGCGGCUUACUGGGUCUUUUCUGACGCUGAUGCACGAAAGCUAGGGGAGCAAAC